CUGGGUUCCAUCCUCAGUGCCACAAAUAAGGAGAGAGGAGGAGGGGCUGUUACCCUCCUUCCAGUGGUCCUGGGGCCCCACGAUGCCACCCCACAUGUGAUCAGCUUCAAACAUUUUGCUUAAGCCAACGGGCCAGAAAUGGGGCCUCUCUGAUUAUGCACCAAGGCCCUGGUGAUCAUGUCAUCCCAGAGGUUGCCACGGCAGUGUCCCUGGCCCCUGGGACUCCAAGCCGUCCAUCAGGGACCCAGAACCACACGCUGAGUGGCCGGAUGAAGAAGCCAGGGAAGCAGCACCAGCCCCAGGGAAGUGGGGGACAUCCUUCGUGGGCCGGGCUGGGCAGCAGGGAAUAGGGCAGGGCGGGCAGGGGAGGGGCUCCACAGGCUGCGGAGAGGGAUUAUAUAUUCAUCAGAAUCUUAAACAAAAGCCCUGCAGCCGCCUGUCAGCCGCGCUAUGGCUUUUAUGGUAAUCAGCGAUGAAUUACCCACAAUGCCUGGCCAAGCGCAAGUGGUUCUUGGCCCGGAUCCUAAACUAAUUUUUGGAUGUUUGUGUGUAUAUAAUUUUGCUCACUCCCUCCCGCUCCUUUCCUUCAUUAAUGGGAACAGGGAAGCAGGGGGAGACACAAGCAGAAGGAACCCUGAGUGUACAGUGGGGUGCAGCCCUCAUCAAGACCCCUGGCACUCAGGCCUACAUGGCUCCAUGCCCUGGGAGCAGAGUGAGGAGAGGGAGAGGGGAGAGAGGAGGCUGGAAAUCACCAAAAGCCACAACUACUGAAGUCAGGUCUCUGCCAUGUGCUGGGUGACCUUAGCCUGCCCUUCCCUCGGUCUCUUCCCUCUUUUCUGGAAUAGAACCCAGAGCCUUGCACAUGCUAGACAAGCGCUCACCCUGAGCCACCCAGGCUGGCCUCGAACUUGAGGUGAUCCUCCUGCCUCAGCCUCCCAAGUGCUGGGCUUCCAGUUCCGAGCUGGAGUCCCUGCAUCAAGCCGUUCCUGAAGCCAGCGUCCUUGAAUAUGUUUCCUUCAGCUAUGAGAGCCAGCUCCCCUGCUUUUCACUAAGGUCAGUUUGAUUUGGGUUUCUCCACCUUUCGAGCUGAGGACCUACAGCGCUUCCUUAGUAGCUGGGAUGAGGAGCCGAGGGGCUUCAGAAAAGACCAAACCUCUGGGUCUCGGGCCUUUUUCAGUGCCAUUAGCAGAAAGCAACACGCACGCGCCAUCUCUCCCACCUGGGCCCGGGAGCGGUGCCCACCUACUGCGAGAUUCCCCCCCCCCGGCCACUGGCUCAAGACCGAUCGGCACGGUCCAUCUGAGCAGCACCCACCGUGCGCUGGCCCAGCGCUGGACAAAGGAGGCAUCGAUGUCACCCGGGGCUCACGGAGACCCAGCAGAAAGCCCUGGCCACGCCCGGAACACCCGGCCCUGCUCUCCACCCAGGCAACUCCUGUUGGCCAGCACUCCCCAGACCAGCGCCACCUCCUCUAAGACGCCUCCUCUGCCUCCCCUCCCCCAGGCGGUUCUGGGGGCUUCUGUCUUUCCUUGCGUUCAAGACGCACCAGGAUCCGAAGCAUCAACCACAAGGAACGAACAACACCCCGAUUACACCACCGUAACACGAGACUUUGUUCAGGUGGGGAAACUGAGGCCCAGAGAGGCAAAGCACAGAAACAGGGACAGCACCAGCACCAGCACCAGGGUUCAGGCUCUGGACAUGUGGGACAAGAAUUCACCUUCCAGGGCUUCCCAGGGUGAUGGCCCGGACUCCUCAGCCAGAGCCCUGGUGGCCACGGGGAUAAGCAGCUGCCCCGCGGGGCUGAAACGUAGCCAGCGAUGCUCCUGCGAGGGGAGGCCCCGCGUCACGCGUGGGCGGCAGAGCCGGAACUCGGGGCACAGCUAUUUCUGGAGGCCGAGGCGAGAAAGUGGGGGCGGCGGAAGAGCCUCACAGGAACGGGGAGGCUGGGGGCCCCGGCGGGGGGCUCAGGGCCUGGUGUCCUCUGUGGGAAUGGAGAGCCGGGUGCAGAACCCCGAGCCCCUGUGGGCGCCAGAGGAGGAGCCAGGCAGGGAUGCUGUCCCCAACAGGCGACAAGACGCCCGGACAGACUGGCCGGGCCCUGGGGCAAAGCCAAGCUAGGACCUGGAAAUGUGGAGCCGGGUGGACGGCUGGGCUGCAGAUUUAAAUACGCACUCGGAAGCAGGAAGAUCAGCACGAGGCCAAGGCCAACCUGAGUUACACAGUGAGACCCUGCCUGUCUCAAAAAAAAGAAAAGAAAAAGACCUGGAGAAGGGCAAGGAGGGAGUUGUGUCCACAUCGGCAUUGCAGAUCAAUCAAACAACCUGUGCAAAGGCCCUGGGGCGGCAUAGAGCCUGGCAUGGUGCAUGGGCAAUAAGGAUCCCAUGUGGCUGGAGCAGAGAGCACAAGAGGGAGGGAGGGAAGAGAGGUGGGGAGGGGAUGGGUGGGCUGUGCAGGCCCCCAUGGGCUGCCGGGAGGACUUGGGCUUUGGCCCCAGGGAGGUGGGAGCCCUAGAAGGCUCUGUGUGGCAGGGACGCACUGCUUGCUCUCGAGUCCCUGCUGCAGGAGGUGGAUGGUCCAGGAGCCAGACCUGAUGGUGAGGCAGAGCCAAAGGCAGUGACCAGCAGGGAGAGGGAGGAGGCUCCUGAGAGCAAACAGCCACAUCUCCGAGAGCACUGUGUCCUGGGGUUCAUGUGUGACCACCCUGAAGACCAAGUUGGCCUGCAAGUGCCAGAAAAGGCACAGAAGAGGAGCCCCCAGAAUGAUUCAGAUGGUGCCGACAGCUGCAAAGGAUACCAGGAAAUGUCUUCCUUCCUCUCCCUGGUGACCAUGUGUCCAGAUAAAAAUUGUAGAGUCCAAUUGUUAUAGAGCAUGGGACAUGAAGGGCUGUUGGGAGACCCCACCAGAAACGGGUGACCUCGGGGCCACAUCUUAGAUUUCAAGCCAGCACAUCUGAGAAACUCUGCCCCAACUGUGACGGCUUUCACGGAUCCCCAGGGUGCAGGCCUGGCUCAGCUAAGCCCAAGGUUCAGGUCAGUGCCCACAGGCUGGGCCCCCUGCAGCCCCCUAUCCUGCCUCACCCCUGCCUGUCGAGGACCCAGGGCAAUUCAUCUCCUUCUCCUCCAUAAACAACUGUCAGGGAAAAUAAAUAGUUUUUAAUAGGCUCAUUAAUUGAAUUCAGGAAGAAAUCUCCUCUCCCCAGCUGAGCGGGAGGAACUGGGCAGAGAUGGAGAAUCUUAAUGGCCAGAGGCAGCGGGCACCCCAGGCCCCUCUGCCCACCGUGCUGUGCCCCAGCCCCGCCAGUUCUGUCCCGGCUGCGAAGGGCCACAGCCUUACACUGGGCAGCAGGGAUGGAAAAGGAUUUAAUAUCAUUCUUUUUUCUUGCAAUACUGGGGGUGGAACUGAGGGCCUCUGCAUUGAGCUCCAUCUUGACCCUUCUUAUUUUUUAUUUUAGACAAGUAUCCUUAAAUUGUCCAGCCUGGACUAGAACUUGAGAUCCUCCCGUCUCAGCCUCCCAAGUGCUCAGAUGACAGGCCUGCACCACUGCACCCAGCUGAAAUCUGUGUUCUUUUUCUUUUUUUUUUUGGUACUGGGGAUCAAACUCAGGAUCUUGCACUUAUCUGUGUUGAGGGUCAAAUUCAACCUUGAGAAAGACCAGCUGGUUCUGGCUGAGUCUUCCACUUGUCUCACUCUGCACUGAGCUCUUUCUGGGGUCCCAGCCCCUCUGGGCUCCCCCAGAGGCCAGAAAUGGCACGGGCCGACUCUGGGCCCCUCACCUCCAGCACCUGUCCACAGGCCCGCCCCCCCCGGCUUGUGUGCUCCCCAUUCCGUCCAUCGUGGCUCUGCACACAGCUCAGAGGGCGCUCAAGGCCCAGAGAGGGCGAGCAUGCGCCCGAGGCCACACAGCAUCUCCGCUCUGGGGCUGCUUUCCGGCCCCUGCCCAAGGGCGGGGAGAGAUGAGCAGCAGUGUGGCCCCUUCCUGCGAUGCCGCCUCUGCCCCGUUGUCAGGGUGGGAUGCGGGCACCAGCCUCCAGGAGCCCAAGGAGGGCGUCCCCCAUCACCGCCCGCCGCAUGGCUGACGGGGCCACCCAGGCUGGCGCAGGAGCCGGGCCUGGUGGAGAGAGUGGGUUGGAGGGGGUGACAGGAGCUGGGCACGGCCUGUGAUCCCGGCACUCCAGGAGGCUGAGGCAGGAGGGCCACGAGAUGGAGCCCAGCCUGGGCAAUUUAAGUGUGCGUGCCUCAGUGUGCCCAUUUGCAGGACAAGGUGACGCCCAGGGCUACUCCAGGGUAGAACUGGGAAGCACAGGUGGGCUGGGCACCUGGGGCCUCACUCUCCCCUCAGGUCCGGUCCUCUGAGACUGUCUGGGGGGAUCCCCAAAUCCCCGAGCACCCGAAAGGCAUCCAGCCCCUCCCCACAGAGGCGGCAGGUGAGAUUCUGCCCCACUUCACAGAUGAGAAAACUGAGGCCGUGGGAAGGGAAUAUCGGGGUGACCCCCCAGAGCCAGUAAAAGGACUGCAUCAGGAGUCCAGCCCCGGGCUUUCAGAGCCCCCAAACCCUUCCCCAGCAGGGCCAGCAUCUGGGUGCCAAGGAGCAACAUGAAAAGUCUGGGUCCUGGCAGCCUUUCUGUGCCCAGUUGGUUUCAGGAGGUGCAGACGGCGCUGUCACUGGAAACCACAAUCAGUCCCACUUGCUAAAAUCCACCAGACUGGGCUGAGGAUGUAGCUCAGUGGUGCUGCACCUGCUGGCAAGGGCAAGGUCCUGAGUUCAAUCCCUGGCACAAAAAAAUAAUAAUAAAAUAAAAUCCACCAGACAGUUACCCACUCCCAUAGUCAACUAGGCGGCAGGACCUGGAUGGGCGAGGAGCCCGUGGAGAUCCAAGCACCGUGACUCAGGCAGUGCACAGGGUGUGUGUGCUGCUGGCUGCCUCAUUUCUCUCUCUGCCUUGGGUCUUAGGAUAAAUCAAGAGUUUUCAAAUCACUGCGCCAUUGUGCACACUGGGGCCAGGCAUGCUGUGGAUGUCCCGGGCACUGCAGGCUGCUGAGCCCCCAUGGCUCCAGGCCAGCAGCUCCCCCAGUGUGACAGCCACCGAUGUCCCCAGACACGGCCUCCCCAGGACAGAAUCACCCCAGGCCGAGCAGAGCCACAGCGGCUCUGAGAAGAGGAGGAAAACAGUGGGCCCAGGACUCCACGAGGCAUUUAAUUUAAAUCAGGCCUCUCCUGACAGCCGAGAUUAAUCUAAUCAGAGGCGACUAUCGAGCCAGACGGCGCGAUCUGUUUCCCAGGGUUGCCCAGUGAGGCGUGGGACCCGAAAACCCAUUUCACAGCCCAGGAAACUGAGGCUCAUAGAGGCCAUCAGAGGCCACGUGACUGACAAAUGAUAAGGAAGGGGUCAAAGCCCAUGGGAGCUGGGUAUGGCAGCACACGUCUGUCACCCCAGCCCUCUGGGAGGCUGAGGCAGGAGGGUUGCAAG